CAGGACCGUACUGUGGUACUACACUAUUACACUGCUAUGUACUACUAAUGUCUGUCAAGACAGGACCGUACUGUGGUACUACACUAUUACACUGUUAUGUACUACUAAUGUCUGUCAAGACAGGACCGUACUGUGGUACUACACUAUUACACUGUUAUGUACUACUAAUGUCUGUCAAGACAGGACCGUACUGUGGUACUACACUAUUACACUGCUAUGUACUACUAAUGUCUGUCAAGACAGGACCGUACUGUGGUACUACACUAUUACACUGUUAUGUACUACUAAUGUCUGUCAAGACAGGACCGUACUGUGGUACUACACUAUUACACUGCUAUGUACUACUAAUGUCUGUCAAGACAGGACCGUACUGUGGUACUACACUAUUACACUGCUAUGUACUACUAAUGUCUGUCAAGACAGGACCGUACUGUGGUACUACACUAUUACACUGCUAUGUACUACUAAUGUCUGUCAAGACAGGACCGUACUGUGGUACUACACUAUUACACUGUUAUGUACUACUAAUGUCUGUCAAGACAGGACCGUACUGUGGUACUACACUAUUACACUGCUAUGUACUACUAAUGUCUGUCAAGACAGGACCGUACUGUGGUACUACACUAUUACACUGUUAUGUACUACUAAUGUCUGUCAAGACAGGACCGUACUGUGGUACUACACUAUUACACUGUUAUGUACUACUAAUGUACUAGUAUCUAAGAGGAUAAGGAAUAUCUACGGAACAUGUACACAAUAUAACACAUUACCAAAGCAUCUAAGGACACGAACACUGACUCUGACAUUGUAUUAUGUUAUGUGACAGUAGCAUAACGUUGGACACACCUGCUCAUUCAAGGGUUUUUCUUUAUUUUUUACUAUUUUCUACAUUGUAGCAUAAUAGAUGAAGACAUAAAAACUAUGAAAAAGCAGUGAAGUCCUAUUACCAGUCAGAUAGGAAGUAGCAGUGAAGUCCUAUUACCAGUCAGGUAGGAAGUAGCAGUGAAGUCCUAUUACCAGUCAGAUAGGAAGUAGCAGUGAAGUCCUAUUACCAGUCAGAUAGGAAGUAGCAGUGAAGUCCUAUUACCAGUCAGAUAGGAAGUAGCAGUGAAGUCCUAUUACCAGUCAGGUAGGAAGUAGCAGUGAAGUCCUAUUACCAGUCAGAUAGGAAGUAGCAGUGAAGUCCUAUUACCAGUCAGGUAGGAAGUAGCAGUGAAGUCCUAUUACCAGUCAGAUAGGAAGUAGCAGUGAAGUCCUACCACCAUAAACACCAUCUGUUGUCUGCACACCCCUGACCACAGAUCAAAUUAAAUUAAAUGUUAUUGGUCUCAUACACACAUUUCUCUGAUGUUAUCGCAGGUGUAGCGAAACAGUGCAGUAAUAUCUAACAAAACAUGCAAAUCCCCACAAUUUCUUUGAAGAAAUGGAUGAAGAAAUAUUGAGAAAUGGU